rnacentral:misc_RNA from 1 species
AGAAUAGACUGACAAAACCUGCCUCCACAACCUUCGGCUGGUGUCUGCCACCAUCGGCAAAGCCUUUUAGUGGUAGGGGCUAAGGAUUAGCAUUUCCACUAUAAUCAUACAUCUCUUACAUAAAUUAAAGAGUUGAGUAGAUUUCAUCACUCCAUCCAAGUCACAAAUCCAAAGCGAGGGAAAAAUUAAAUAAGCAUAAUACCCAUACAGGAACGGCUGAAAUUUUCCAACAAGUACUUUCUUUCUUGCAACUUGAAAAGACAAGGCCAAAGUACAGAGAGUCUGUGUGUGGUGUGGUGUAGUGUGGUGUGGCUCCACUAAGCACUGGAUGUAGAGGCAAACAUUACUACCAGACCCAUCAGUUCGUUUGCAUUGCUUCUGUAUGAUAUUUCAUCAAAUCAGCAUCUAGAUCUUCUGCAGAUACCUUUUCUCCACGACCUCCUCUUCCCCAUCCUCUGUUGCCUCCUCGAAAUCCACGAUCACGUCCUCUGGCACCCCGUGACCUCCCAAAACCACCACCUCUUACUUGACCACUUCUAGGAGCUCCAUUAGUAUCUCCAAAACCAAAAGCUCCAUUGGAAAAAGGGGCAGUAGGAGUGACAAUGUUGGUUCCAACAAUUUCGAUCUUCAUUGGCUUCCCAUCAAGCUGAACAUUGUUGAACCUUUUAACACCAGCUAGUGCAUCUUGUCUACGUGAGAAAACCACCUCUGCUGUUCCCUUUGAUCUCCCGCUCCUAUCAUAAUGAACAGCAUAACGUUUCAGGUCACCAAUUUCUGAAAAGAGCUCCUUGAUAUCCUCAUUGGAGACGCCGUAAUCAAGAUUGGAGAUGUAGAGUUUAGUCCCAGUCUCUAUGGAAGACGCCCGACCACCAGCUUGACCAAAGGCGACGGCUUGAUCUGCCUCGAACAUAUCAUGAUUCCACGACGCUUGAGGGGCCUUGGCGAUGGAAUAAGGUGCAGCUCGGUUAGCAGAACGAUUAGGGAACCGUCGAGAAGGUCCAGCACUGGAGGUGGAGGCGGCGCCGCGGCCUCUGCCACGAGGCUUACCUCCGGUACCGGUCUUAUUCUUCUUGAUGAGAUCGUCGAGAGUCAUAUCCAAAGCUGCCUCAGCCAUUUGUAAUUGCGUCUUUGUUUGUGGGUAGAAAGCUGGGUAGGGUUUGAACUUUGAUAAAAGAAGCUCGCUCGUAUUUAACUACUCACUAAUUACUUAUCAAAUAAUUUCAACACUAUCUCCAAU